CCCAGACAGCAAGCCAACAUUGAAUAAACAUUGUUUUUCCAUCUGAAUCAUCAUUAUGGUUGAUAUUGAAAUUUCAAUGCAAAAUAAAUGUUGAAUCACCAUUACCAUAUCGAUGAAAACCUGAUGUUAUUAAUGUUGAUGGCAACAAUAUUGGAACAACAUUGAUCUAUAGUUAUCUUUAUGAUUGAUUAAGCAUUGAUAUUUGGUUACCGCGGGUGAUCCCUGAAUGUGUUGAAAAGUAAUUGAUUUAUAGUGGACAGAGAAACGAUGCGGUUGUUUAAAAGUCAUCGAAAUAUAGUUGACCGGGAAAUAUGAUUGAAAAAGCAUCGAAAUAUAGUUGACCGGGAAAUAUGAUUGAAAAUGCAUCGAAAUAUAGUUGACCGGGAAAUAUGAUUGAAAAUCCCUCGAUUUUUGGUUGACCGGGAGAUCAGCGGGUGGUAUAACUUACCCAACGUACUAAACCGGACACAGCUCGUUUGUGGACCCUUGGCACAAGCGUACAGGUAAGCUUGCUUAAUAUUCGAUAUGAACCCAGACAGCACAGGCACGCGGUGUGUUUUUAUACAGUCUGUGGGCAGCUGAAGAGACUGGCUCAUUUUCAAAUAAUGUUACCGUUAACUUGUUUAGACAACGGUCACGGUAAAUUAAUGUUAAAGCCUUGCGUUUCCAGCAGUUUCUCGGAGGGAAAAUGUAAAAGCGGUUUAUUAAAGAGAAGUCCUGACUGCUUUAUCGUCGUGUUUUUCACUCUUUUACAGGCUGCCAGAAAGAAUCCGUCUCUAUAGUGAGUGAUUAUUGAAUGAGGCUGUACAUUAUAAAUGUAAUGUUUUAACUCGAGAUAUUUGUUUGUGUGAAUGCUGUGUGUGCGGUGAGUUCUGCGCGAGCGGGGAGCAGAGUUGCCAUGGAAACGGGGCGUCAACACAAAAACCGUUACUGGCAAGCGGUAAUCUCCGUCUCUCGCUGCGGUUUACACUGUUUUAGGAUGACAGAAAGAAACUCUACAGAACAAAGUGAAACUCCAAGAUUUUUGAAAAGAAAAUUGGUGAAAUAUAUUCUGAAAAAGGCAUAUUAAUGUAUUUCAUGAGCUUCUUCAGUUCACCUGUAUUUCUAAGUCAGUAUCUCCCUUCAGAAAUGUUGCUGACGGGAGAUACUGACUUAGAAAUACAGGUGAACUCAAAAAGCUCAUGAAAUACUCAUGAAAGAAGCUCAUGAAAUACAUUAAUAUGCCUUUUUCAGAAUAUAUUUCACCAAUUUUAAGAAGUCCCUGACAUCAAAACAUUGCUUGUUUUGUUCCUGGACUCUUCAGUGAUGAUGAGCAGAGUCUGAGUGAACCUGCUGUCAGACAGGUUGGGCCGAUAGACGAUUCCAUCGUCCAUCGUCGAUGGCUGAUAGACAUCACGAUGCUGCGCCAGCAAACAGCGUCAUGAGCUCCAGUAUCUCGUGCGUGCAUCCGUUGUCAUGCAACAGAGAAGUUGCGUCUAUGGACAGUUGUGAACGCGCUGACAGCUGGUUGCCCAGGCUUUGGGUUAAAGGAGCCACCGGUAUUUGGUCCUGUUGUUUUUUUCUCAAAAACCGGCAGCCGCUGACUUGCAUUUAAGAAUCACCAAGGGCAACGGUUUCACCUAAAAACCUUUACUGUUCUACUGCAAAAACCUUGGAUGACCUGAGGAUCACUAUUGCACACCAAAUACUCUUACUCAGCAGAUGGGGACAGCUACCAUCACCCAAUUUACACCCAAAAGUGGCUGCGCUAUGCGCCAGACCGGGGCAGGAGGGACUGGGCGACAACUUAUGCAGGCAUCAGAUGACAGUGAAGUGUAAAUAAAGAGUAGAGAGGCUAAUAAACAUUAAUUUGAUUUUAAA